rnacentral:rRNA from 1 species
GUCAGAAAUAGACUGCUAAUACCGCAUAAGACCACAGCACCGCAUGGUGCAGGGGUAAAAACGUACCGGUGGUACAGGAUGACCCGCGUCUGAUUAGCUGGUUGGUGAGGUAACGGCUCACCAAGGCGACGAUCAGUAGCCGGCUUGAGAGAGUGAACGGCCACAUUGGGACUGAGACACGGCCCAAACUCCUACGGGAGGCAGCAUG